UGAAACGAAGACGCGAGGUCAAGAGUGGU
rnacentral:sRNA from 1 species